GUUUGAUCAUGGCUCAGGACGAACGCUGGCGGCGUGCCUAAAACAUGCAAGUCGAACGAGGGAGCAAUCCCUAGUGGCGAACGGCGGAGUAAUACAUGAACAACGUGCCCUGAAGUCCGGGACAAACGCAGAAAUGCCAUAAAUACCGGAUGUGGCCCCCACCUGGCAUCAGGAGGGGAUUAAACGGUUUUUCGCUUCAGGAGCGGUUCAUGGCCUAUCAGGUAGUUGGUGGGGUAAUGGCCUACCAAGCCGACGACAGGUAGCGGGUCUGAGAGGAUGAUCCGCUCGAGUGGGACUGAGACACGGCCCACACACCUACGGGUGGCAGCAGUUGGGAAUCUUGCACAAUGGGGGAAACCCUGAUGCAGCGACGCCGCGUGGAGGAUGACGGAUCUAGGUCUGUAAACUCCUUUUUCAUGGAAAGACUUAGGACGGUACCAUGAGAAUAAGGACCGGCUAACUACGUGCCAGCAGCCGCGGUAAGACGUAGGGUCCAAGCGUUGUCCGGAUUUACUGGGCGUAAAGAGCGCGUAGGCGGCUUGUUAAGUGUGAAGUGAAAUCUCCAGGGCUCAACCCGGAAACUGCUUCGCAUGCUGGCAAGCUUGAGGAAUGCAGAGGUCUGUGGAAUUCCUGGUGUAACGGUGAAAUGUGUUGAUAUCAGGAGGAACACCAGUGGCGAAAGCGGCCUUCUGGACCGUUUCUGACGCUAAGAUGCGAAAGCUAGGGGAGCGAACGGGAUUAGAAACCCCGGUAGUCCUAGCCGUAAACGAUGUAGACUGGGCGUCGGUGGGGUAAAAGCCAUCGGUGCCGAAGCUAACGCGAUAAGUCUACCGCCUGGGGACUACGGCCGCAAGGUUAAAACUCAAAGGAAUUGACGG
rnacentral:rRNA from 1 species